rnacentral:snRNA from 12 species
AUACUUACCUGGCAGGGGAAACACUCUGAUCAGGCUGGUGGUUUUCCCAGCAUGAGGCUCACUGUCUCAUCCCCUGCACUUCAAGGGCACAGAACCCUGUGGUUUCCCCAAAUGCAGGAAAAAAAACUACUGCAUAAUUUGUGGGAGUGGGUUUUUUUUUGUUUUCAUUUU